GCCCGCGUAGCUCAGCGGACAGAGCACCUGAUUCCGGAUCAGGAGGUCCCGAGUUCGAUCCUCGGCGCGGGCA
rnacentral:tRNA from 1 species